GAAAGCAGGGGAUCGAAAGACCUUGUGCUUUUGGAGCGGCCGAUGUCUGAUUAGCUAGUUGGUGGGGUAAAGGCCUACCAAGGCGACGAUCAGUAGUUGGUCUGAGAGGACGACCAGCCACACUGGGACUGAGACACGGCCCAGACUCCUACGGGAGGCAGCAGUGGGGAAUUUUGGACAAUGGGCGCAAGCCUGAUCCAGCAAUGCCGCGUGAGUGAAGAAGGCCUUCGGGUUGUAAAGCUCUUUCAGUCGAGAAGAAAAGACUGCGGUGAAUAACUGUAGUUCAUGACGGUAUCGACAGAGGAAGCACCGGCUAACUACGUGCCAGCAGCCGCGGUAAUACGUAGGGUGCGAUGCGUUAUCGGAAAUUCUGGGCGNAA
rnacentral:rRNA from 1 species